AUUGAACGCUGGCGGCAGGCCUAACACAUGCAAGUCGAGCGGUUGAGGUAGCUUGCUACCGAUGCAGCGGCGAACGGGUGAGUAAUACAUGGGAAUCUGCCUGGUAGUGGGGGACAACGUCUCGAAAGGGCCGCUAAUACCGCAUACGCCCUACGGGGGAAAGGGGGGAUCGUCGGACCUCUCACUAUCAGAUGAGCCCAAGUCAGAUUAGCUAGUUGGUGGGGUAAAGGCUCACCAAGGCGACGAUCUGUAACUGGUCUGAGAGGAUGUUCAGUCACACUGGAACUGAGACACGGUCCAGACUCCUACGGGAGGCAGCAGUGGGGAAUAUUGGACAAUGGGCGCAAGCCUGAUCCAGCCAUGCCGCGUGUGUGAAGAAGGCCUUAGGGUUGUAAAGCACUUUCAGUGGGGAGAAAGGUAAUUCACCUAAUACAUGAGUUAAUUGAUGUUACCCACAGAAGAAGCACCGGCUAACUCCGUGCCAGCCGCCGCAGUAA
rnacentral:rRNA from 1 species